rnacentral:rRNA from 1 species
CGUCCCUGUCCUUUGUACACACCGCCCGUCGCUACUACCGAUUGAAUUAUUUGGUGAGGUCCACGGAUUGUGGUGUCUGGCUUCGGUCCGUCACCGUGAGAAGUGGAACGAACCUGAUGAUUUAGAGGAAGUAAAAGUCGUAACAAGGUUUCCGUAGGUGAACCUGCGGAAGGAUCAUUAACACGUAUCCAACGUAUCAACACAUCAAUACACCUUUGUGAACUAGGUUAUCUGUGAACCCUUUGUCUUUUUUUUUCUCAAAAGAAGUUUACACAUCUUCUGUCCAUUGAAUGCGUCAGCAACAACAAAACAGAGUGCCAAUCUCAUUGUCACAUCUACAACCAAUACUAUUAGUAUUGAUCAAAUCAUGACCCUUAGCAAAGGAUGUCUUGGUUCCGGCAACGAUGAAGAACGCAGCGAAAUGCGAUACGUAAUGCGAAUUGCAGAAUUCAGUGAAUCAUCAAAUCUUUGAACGCAAAUUGCGCUCCGUAGGUGUCCCCUUGGAGCAUGCCUCCUUCAGUGUCGUUAUUACUCUUUAUCCAAGACGUGCGUUUGCACAAUCUCGCAUUGUGAGACGUCGUCGUUGCGGAUAGCAUUUAGAUCUGCUCCGUCACAUUCACAAGUGUGGGGAAGGAGGUCUACAAGUGUGUCACGUGUAUGAUUUGUACUCUCUUCUAUGUGCCUGUGUGCAAGUAAAGUGCUCUGGCAACCAGUGUUUGUAGUUCACCCACAUCAUUGAAUGGACGCUACACUUGUCAGAGCAAUUGAAGUAAACACACGCUACUAUAGGGUCAUAGACUUCAAAAGGGUGCAGACGCGCUACAUCACUUAACAACAACACAUUACAUUGACCUGAAGUGAGGUAAGAGGACCGGCCGAAUUUAAGCAUAUUAAUAAGCCGAGGAAAAGAAACUAACAAGGAUUCCCCUAGUAAUGGCGAAUGAAGCGGGAAUAGCUCAAGUUGAAAAGCGGUGCCACUUGUGGCAUCGCGUUGUAAACUGAUGAGCGCUAGUCAGUGGAGGACCCGGGGCA